rnacentral:ncRNA from 1 species
AAAAAAAAAACCGUACCCUAAUCCGACACAGGUGUGCAAGUAGAGAAUACUAAGGCGAAUGAGAGAACUAUCGCGAAGGAACUCGGCAAAAUGAUUCCGUAACUUCGGUAUAAGGAAAACUAUAUUAUUAUUAAUCUAUUUAUUUUUAGCCCUACCGGUUUAACCAGUAGUUUUUAAUCAGGGGCUACAGUACACGAAGUGUGCUGGGUUAAACCGACAUAAAGAGGCCUUGAUUAAAAGUUUUUGCUGGUUUACUAAUUUAUUUUAAAUAAAUUGAGUUUUAUUUAUAAAACUCCCCCCCCACACACUAUGUGUGUGGGGGGGAGAGCCCCUCCCUCCGGUAGGGGGGGGCUAGGAAAGAAGGGGACUGGAGGGUUAAACAAUUAAUAAAAGAUUGUUAAGGUUUUACCGAAAAAAGGGUAAAUGAUUGAUAAUAAAGGAGUGGCACAAAAUCGUGUUGUACAACUGUUUACUAAAACACAGUACUUUGCAGAGACA